UCAGUUUGAGCAGUGAUAGUGUGAACAUUAAAAGAACCGGAAAACCUAACUAUAAAAAUGCCGAAUCAAAAUGAAAAUAAUAAUUUGAGAAAUGCUUUGAUAAUUGCGGCUGUUAUUUCUGGUGUUGCAUUGAUUGGUGCUAUUCUGUUACAAAAUCACUUGAACAACAGUGAAGCUGUUAUUGAACUACCUGAUGAGUUUGAAGAGUUCCAAGGGAACAACCGUUCUGAUUCAGAUCGGCGGUUAGUAGUUGGACUCUCACCAUUUCCAUGUGGAAAUUUUGUACCACCAGCAGAGGGAAAUUGUGUGCCACCAAUCGGUUUUGUUGAAACCGGCGAAGAAUGCAUCUUUUGCACCAUAAGAUUCGAUGGAUGUGAGCCAAUAUCGGUUCUUCAAUGUAAUCACCGAUUUCAUAGACGAUGUCUACAGUACUCAAUGCAUUGCAGUGAUGGAAACAGAAAUCAAUGUCCUCUUUGCAGAGCUGCCAUCCAAUUCAAAAACG